rnacentral:tRNA from 1 species
GGAGGCGACUGGCACACUGGUGUGGCCCCCGGUCUUCAAAACCGGUGAGGGGUAGCGUUUCGCUGGCUCUGGCGGGUUCGAUUCCCGUACGUCUCCGCCA